AGGGCUCCCCGACCUUUCGGCUAAGAUCAAAGUUUAGUUUCUGUUCUUAUCGAAUUAACCUUCGAUAGAGAAUCGAACGAAUCUCGUUAAUGUUAAUGGGUUUUUUAGGGCGCGUGUGGCGCAGUGGUUGGAGGCGCCACUCCGACGCGCACGUGAAAUGCGCCCAUGGCCCACCAAGCUCUCCAUCCCUC
rnacentral:snRNA from 1 species